AUUCUGAGGCACUCAAAACACUCUCUGCCCCGGGUCUGUUUUCUGUUUAAAUUUCAGACUCUAUAACUCUACACCCUGCUGGCUCCACAUCUAUCCAUGUCUUCAAUGUCCCCACCCUUCAGAUGCGCCUUGCAUGGGACUCACCUGGCUCUUGUGGAGAAGCCACGAUCCGGGAGACCGAGCUGAGCAAGCCGCUGCACAUUGGUGUGGUGAGGAUGCUGUGCCUAGCUCUCUUGCAUCGGUUCCUUAGGAUGGACACUUCCUGCCCCCAAGCCUGAGGCCCCUUUGGCUGGUAACCUGCAGGGACACACUGCCAGGUUCUCUGGAUCCUCUGCUUGGGAGGUCUCCUUCCCCCAAAAGGGACAUCGUGGCCCAGCUUGGCAGGGAGCUGGGAAGCCAAUGCUGACGAGAGGUGACCCCACCUUGAACUCUGCUGGCAAGGAAGUGCGGUCCAUAAGGAGAACAGGAGUCUGGGCUUCUUCACUCUCUUGGCCGAAGGUGGAGAGAGAAACCUGCAGCCCACGUGGUGGGAGCACCACCAUCUCUGGGUGACUGCUGACACCUCCC
rnacentral:lncRNA from 1 species